rnacentral:rRNA from 1 species
GACGAACGCUGGCGGCGUGCCUAAUACAUGCAAGUAGAACGCACAGUUUAUACCGUAGCUUGCUACACCAUAGACUGUGAGUUGCGAACGGGUGAGUAACGCGUAGGUAACCUGCCUGGUAGCGGGGGAUAACUAUUGGAAACGAUAGCUAAUACCGCAUAAUAUUGAUUAUUGCAUGAUAAUUAAUUGAAAGGUGCAAUUGCACCACUACCAGAUGGACCUGCGUUGUAUUAGCUAGUAGGGGAGGUAACGGCUCACCUAGGCGACGAUACAUAGCCGACCUGAGAGGGUGAUCGGCCACACUGGGACUGAGACACGGCCCAGACUCCUACGGGAGGCAGCAGUAGGGAAUCUUCGGCAAUGGACGAAAGUCUGACCGAGCAACGCCGCGUGAGUGAAGAAGGUUUUCGGAUCGUAAAGCUCUGUUGUAAGAGAAGAACGGGUGUGAGAGUGGAAAGUUCACACUGUGACGGUAUCUUACCAGAAAGGGACGGCUAACUACGUG